UUUAUGUUCAUGUUUCUUUCUUGUUUUUAGCUAUUUCUAUUUUAUUUGUUUCAAAAUACCACUUUUUCGUAGAUUUUUCGAAAUUAGGAUUGUGCAAACUUAUUUUUUCAUGAUAAGCUUCAGUUAUAGGGAAAACGGGAAAGUAUAUAGAGUUUAAGGGAUUAAAUUCUAGGACUAGGGACAUUGGGAAAGUUUGACAACUUAGGUAUU
rnacentral:lncRNA from 1 species